CUACGGGCGGCUGCGGUGAGGAAUUUUGCGCAAUGGGGGAAACCCUGACGCAGCAACGCCGCGUGAGCGAAGAAGGCCUUCGGGUCGUAAAGCUCUGUCAAGUGGGAAAAAAAUUCUUUGAUGAACAGUCAAAGGACUUGAUGGUACCACUGGAGGAAGCACCGGCUAACUCCGUGCCAGCAGCCGCGGUAAUACGGAGGGUGCAAGCGUUGUUCGGAAUUACUGGGCGUAAAGAGCGUGUAGGCGGUUUGACAAGUCAGAUGUGAAAGCCCCGGGCUCAACCCGGGAAGUGCAUUUGAAACUGUUUCACUAGAGUAUGGGAGAGGGGAUUGGAAUUCCUGGUGUAGAGGUGAAAUUCGUAGAUAUCAGGAGGAACACCCGUGGCGAAGGCGAUUCUCUGGACCAAUACUGACGCUGAGACGCGAAAGCGUGGGGAGCAAACAGGAUUAGAUACCCGGGUAGUC
rnacentral:rRNA from 1 species